UGUCCACAACCCUAGGAUCAUGACCCAAGCUGAAAUCAAGAGUCAGACACUCAACGGACUGAGCCAUCCAGGUGACCCCUGAAUAGAUUUUUCUAACUAGUGGAACAAUUUUGAACUCUUAUUAAUCACAAGACCAAAUUAAUGACUUUUUCCAGUAUUGCUUGCUUUCUUCUCUCAGUGAUUAAAACUUAACUUGUUUUCACUGUUGAAUUGGAUAUUUGCAUAUUAAACUUUUCAGAUGUUAUUUAAUUCUGUAUUAUUUCAUAUAUUUGUAUUAAGAUACUGAAUGACUAAAAGUGUCAAGACUAAAUAUUUGGUUAUGAUACUCUUUUGGGGAAUGUGGUAGACAUUAAUGACAAUCUUUAUAUUUUCCCUCUGUGUGUGAAAAAUUUAGAAUAAUCUUAAAAACCUUAUUGAGGACCCCAAGAGCUUUCUUAUAGAGAGAAGUGUUUGCUGUUGUUUACCACAUUUGAAAUUAAAGCUUAUGUGCUCAAAAACCAAAAAUACACAAGAAUGUAUUCUAUUAGCCAUCAGAGUGAUCUCAACAUUACACAUCAUAUAGCUUCUGGAAAAUUCCACAGCACACUUUAGAGAAUGAAAGUGAAAUAGGCAAAUGACGGUUUUGUGUGAUGGUGACAAAGUUUUGACUUUGGGGGCCCCCUGCAAUGGUCUCAAGGACAAGAUUAAAGACUGAUCACUUAAAGUAUAUGCAAAGAAGGAGACCACCUGAUGAGAGGAUUUCAUGAGUCUUUCCCAAAGAAACUCCUUGUUAAACAGAUAACUUCACAAUAAGCAUUUCAUUAUUUCAUCAUAACUUAGUGCAGAGAUCCCUAGGCUAAUCCUUCAUCACUAAUCCGGGGUACUUCAGACAUACUGUGGUUCUUUCUCCAUGCUGUUCCGCAGCACUAGUUCUGGCUGAGGCUGGCUGUAAUGCGCAUCCUAAAAAGGGACUGCUGUCCUUCAGGGAUGUGGCCGUCGAAUUCUCUCAGGAGGAGUGGGGAUGCCUUAACCACAGUCAGCGGGAACUCUACAGAGAUGUGAUGUUGGAGACCUACGGACACCUCGUCUUCUUGGGUCUUGUUGUGUCAAAGCCAGACCUGAUCACCUUUUUGGAAC